rnacentral:tRNA from 1 species
GCGGGCAUGGUUUAGUGGUAGAACGUCAGCCUUCCAAGCUGAGGGUACGAGUUCGAUUCUCGUUGCCCGCU